AUAAGGCCUCUGGGUUUUCCAGUUUCUUCUUGGCCAGGGCUGGGCCCAGUGGCCCAUGAAGAGAACAUUUCUUGGCUGCGGGCUGCAGGGUGCGAGUUGGGGUGUAUAAGCAUCAUGGAAAGCAUCUAGUCUAGCAUUUUCUAAACACUUGCCUGGAACUAUACACUCAUAUAUGGUCAGAUAAGACAGGCUGUCUCCAGAGAGCCAUAAACUACAUUAAUGUAGCAAAUCAAAGCUCUGAUAAGUCCUGCAGUAAAGAGACCUGUUUAUAAUUUUGUUUCCUCUGGCACCUUUUAAAAAUCUGUACCGCCUUCCUUCCAUUUCUCAGGUGCCUCGUGAUAUCUUAAAAUUACUGUUUGGCAAAUGCUGAUUUAGUUCAACUCCUCCUAAGACCUAAGGCCAACAGUAAAACUGAAGCCCAAGAUGUGGGAGGAUUUGCCCAAGGCUGCAUAAUCAGAAGAAAAUCCAGUCAUUCUGACUCGGAACUGUCUCAGCAGGCCUGGCUUUGAAUUUCAGACGUUGCCAUGGAGGACCAGGGGAUCUCAGAUCUGCAGGACAGAUAUUAUCAUGAUCCCCAUUCUGCAGAUAAGGCAACUGAGGCUCAGAACAGUGAGAAGACUUUCUGAGCAGUCUUCCAUCGGGCAGUGUUGGGAUUUGAACCCAGGUCUCAAAGAACAUCUACGAUUUAUGGUGUAUUGGGGCCUUGCUCUGUGCCCAGCACUUUAAUAACAGCAACAUCACAGCAAUAACAAUACUGAACCCUUGUCCGCACUUGACCCCCGUCAGCUCAUUUAAUACAACAAUCCUCAUGCACCAGAGCCCCGAUUUCCAGAUAAGGAAACACAGCACGGGAAAGAGAAACAUUCUGCGCAUCCUGCUGGUUAGUGUGGCACAGCCACUUGCAGAACUCAGGCCUGGCCACCAGCCAACUCGGAACGCCCUGGCUGAACCCCUCCAUCCGCACAUGACCCCAGCGUGUCUCCUGGCCCACCACCCCCCCGCAGAGCCUGUGAUGUUUACAAUUCCGCCCUGUGAGGCUUUGAAAACUCCCCCUACACGCCGCCUGCCCCGCCAGGGCUUGUAUCCGCCCAGCCUGCCUUGCAAUGGCUUUUAUUGAUUCUCUGGCCUGCCAGCCUGUGCUGGGAACACACUCUUUUUAAUGGAGCGUUAAUUGGGAGGGAAGAGAGAGAAAGCUGUUCCCCUGCCCAGCAGGGACUGAGUCUCCUGUCUCCUCCUCCUUUCUCCCAGGCUGGGAUGUGGCGGCAAGGACCCCGGGCCUGGCGUCCUGGGCAGGCCUAGACUCUUCCUGCUGCUGACUCAUGGCGUGACCUCAGACAAGUUCUGCUUGGGCCUCAGCCUCCUCAGCUGUGAAAUGGGAGCAGACAGCCCUGCUUCUCAGGGCCGGAGCGAGGAUUACUUGGAAGAAGGAAUCUAAGAGUCUUAGUCCAGUUUUUGGUACCUAGUAGGUGCUCAAUAAAUCAUCAAAUCUCUUCUGGCCUCCCAAUUCCCAAGACAGCCUGAGUUUGAAUCCGGGCGGCCUUGGACAAGUUACUUUCAGCUUUCUGUGCCUCAGUUUCCUCAUCUGUGAAAAGAGGAGACAAACAGGCCCCACCUCCUCUGGUUGCCUUCACUGAGAUGCAGCAGUGCCUGCAUGAGGCCGUUUGCUAAAAAUAAUACUAUGGAGAGCAACAGUUACCAUCAUUUUUGGCCUCCUCUCAUGCUUCUGUGGUGAGCACGUGCCAACCCGUUGAACCGUCACAACAUCGGGGAUGUUAUCACCACCCCCAUUUUGCAGGUAUGCACACAGCUGCCAGGUGACAGGGCUUGGGGUGGGGGGGACCAGGGUCUGUGCUGAGCUGACUGGUAGAGACCCCACCCUCCUUCCCCCACUAGCAGAGAGAGGAAGGCUGAGGUGCCCCCGCUCCCCCAUCCCGAGUGACUGGGUCCCCACUUGACUCUGGUGAGAUCAUCAGGCUAGAAGCUUGAGGCUGACGUCAUGGCCGGGCACAGAAGCCUCAGCGCACCUAUAAUUACAGCAGGGGCGAGGCUGGCUGGCUGGCUCUGAGGCCAGAACGGGGAGAAUCACUGUGUGACCCAGAGAAGAAAGCCAGAGCUGCCUGGGACCUGGGCCGGGGCCAGGGUGAGGUUUCUGGGUGGGUGGCUUGGUCCCCAGCCGUUCGUGUGUGGAUUUGAGCAGGUGGAGCGCUUAGUGUGUUUAUGUGUUUAUUUAUGGGUGAGUCUGCUGAUGGGUGCGUUCUAGAAGACCCUCCUACUCCUUCCUCUCUAGGCCUCCUUCCCACAAGAGCCUUCAUCCACCUUCUCAUUUCAAGGAUGCUGCCAGCAGGAGAGGAGGGAGGGUGUGCAGCUAGAAAACAGAAAUAGCAAACAUUAGCAUUUAUCCAGCACUUUCCACGCUCCAGGUUCUGUUCUAAGCACUUAAAACUUAUGUAUAUUAACACAUGCGAUCCCCCUAUAGCCCUAUAAGGAAAGGACUUUUAUCAUCCCCAUUUUAUUGCUGAGAGAACCAAGGCUCAGUGAGAUUGCACGACUCACCCUUGUCUACGCACCCAGUUAAGUGGCAGAGCUGGGAUUCGAACCUAGGCAGUUUGGCUCUUGACCCCUCUGCUGUACUACGGUUUAUAAUCACUGUCAUGGCUUACAUUUAACUGAGCACUGACUGUGUACCAGACCAUGUGCCCAGCACUUUAUUCAUGACCUCAGUGGACCCUCAUGGCUCAGAGAGGUGAAGCCCCUUGCCGAAGGCCACACAGUGGGACUUGGGAACCCCUGGUCUUGUCCAGUGAUCCUCCCACAUGCCUGCUGUAUGUGCUCCCUCCCCCAGCCCCUGCCCCCAGAUUCUCACUACGUUUCUGGGUCAGGCCAGCCUUCCGUUUUGGGAAGCUGAGGAGGGAGGCAGCUGCUCAUCCUGCUGACCUAGCCUCCUGGAGAGGAGUCAGUAAGCCCUACAGGCUGUCAUCAGCCAGAUGAAAACAUGGGGCCAGGACCAGGAGAAGCCAGGUAGGGGAGGGGGUCCCCAGGCUGGCUCUCUCUGGGAAGGAAAGACCCUGUGGAGUGUGUGUGUGUGUGUGUGCGCACGUGUGUGAGUAUUGGGGCAGGGGUUGGGGGCAAUAUUCGACCCCGGGUCCCAGAACAAGUGUUUUCUUGGCUACUUUCCUCUUAGAGCUUUCACAUGGGAAGGACUGCAGUUAAUUCUCAAACAGCCCAGGGGGAGGGUGACAUCACCCUGCAGUCCGGAAACAGGGGCCCAGGAAGGAGCAGUAGCUGCCUCAAGUCACACGGGAAGUGCCAGGACGCAGACACAAUUCCGUGCUCUUCCUGUGCUGCCUUUCCAUGGCAGCAAGAUUCCACGUUCCGUCCUCCCCUAGGUAUUUCCAGCUGCCCCCCCACACCGUCCCACCCAGC